rnacentral:rRNA from 1 species
GACGAACGCUGGCGGCGUGCCUAAUACAUGCAAGUAGAACGCACAGUUUAUACCGUAGCUUGCUACACCAUAGACGGUGAGUUGCGAACGGGGGAGUAACGCGUAGCUAACCUGCCUGGUAGCGGGGGAUAACUAUUGGAAACGAUAGAUAAUACCGCAUAAUAUUAAUUAUUGCAUGAUAAUUAACUGAAAGGUGCAAUUGAAUCACUACCAGAUGGACCUGCGUUGUAUUAGCUAGUAGGUGAGGUAACGGCUCACCUAGGCGACGAGACAUAGCCGACCGGAGAGGGUGGUUGGCCAGCCUGGGACUGUGACACGGCCCAGAGUGCCACGGGAAGCAGCAGUAGGGCAUCUUCGGCAAUGGGCGGAAGUCUGAGCGAACAACGCCGCGUGAGUGUAGAAGGUCUUCGGGUCGUAAAGCUCUGUUGUCAGGGAAGAACCGGUGUGAGGGUGUAAAGUUCACACUGUGACGGUAUCUUAUCAGAAAGCGACGGCUAACUACGUG